CGGUCCUCCCGCUGGUGGAGGCAGAUCCGCCCCCAGCUCUGCAGGAAGGGGGGUGCGAGGUGACCCCUCCACGGGGGUGAUACCGGGCGGGGGGGGGGUCAUUACCGGGUAGCUGGUUAUUAGCGGGCGGAAGGUGGGUUAUUACCUGUACGCUGGUCAUUCCCGGGCGCUGAAUUCCCGGGGUGGGGGUCAUUCCCGAGCGGUGGGUCAGUGUCGGGGUGGGGGUAAUUCCCAGGCGCUGAAUUCCCGGAGUGGGGGCCAUUCCCAGGCGCUGAUUCCCGGGGUGGGGGUCAUUCCCGAGCGGUGGGUCAUUCCCAAGGCCGGCUGUGGGUUGCAGAGCUCCCGUCCGUGGGGCCGGACAGGCGCAUCCUCCCCAUGCGGGCAGGAGCCCGAGCUGGGCCAUGAGCAACGCCACGGCCCCCACAGCCCCGGGCGCCUCGGGGGACUCGCUGGUGGGCUCCGUGCUGGGGCCCUUCCUCCUCCUCACCCUCCUCGGCGCCCUCCUGGCCGCGGUGAUGUACGUGAAGAAGAAGCGCAGGUCCGACCGGCUCCGGCACCGGCUGCUGCCCAUGUACAGCUACGACCCGGCCGAAGAGCCGCCUGAGUCGGAGCAGGAGCUGCUGGUGGAGGCUGAGGAGGCUCAGGUGGUGCCCGGCUGGGGGGGACCCUCACCCCCUCGUCCCCCGCGCAGGGACUGGAGGGCCUGACUCUGCCUGGAGCACCGGGACCGGAUCCUGCCCGCGGGAGGGGAGGGACGAUGCUCUCAGCACUGGUACCAUCAGCCAGGACGUGCCCGCAGCGGUGCCACAAUUCCACAGCCACUACCCCCACCUGAGCACUGACCAGGACCAGACAUCUCCCACCUCAGUGCCUGGUUUUCCUUUUUUUUUUUUUUUUAAUUUUUUCUUUCCUUUUCUUGGACUUCUCCAGCAGCCCCUUGGAAAGCUCCAGGAGGGCCCACUGGGACUGGCAGGGAGCAGCAGGCUCUGCCAGCACAGGAUGCCUGGGGGAAGACAGGCUCAUCCCCGUGGAUGGAUGGUGGCCAUCACCAGCAGGGAUGUCUCUGUGGAGGAGAUGCCCUUGGAGGAGCCACCCCUGCCCAACCCCUCCGGGGCCCGGGACAGGCAUCACAAACUUCCAUAAAAUGUUUUAUUCAAGUAACUGCAAAUAGGAACCCAAAAGGUCGUUAACAGUGAACCAAAAAAACCCCCAAACCAAACCCCGAUUCUCUCCCGCCGGGGCC